rnacentral:lncRNA from 1 species
UCUCAAGGGGUGGGGAAGGCAGCUAGCGGCAGCCAAGAGCCCUGGCACAAGGAAGAGACCUGGAGUCCAACACCGGCUCUGCUACCGAGCUCGCCGUGUGACCUUGGGGGAGUCACUCCUUUCACCGAGCCUCAGUUGUCUCGCCUGUAAAAUGGGAACGCAGCAGCCACGCGUCUUGGGAUGCUAGCCGUUCAGCACGGGACGCGGCGGCCGGGCAUGGGAAGGAGAGGACUUGGGUGAGGAGCUGCCGCUGAGCUGGGCCAGGACCUGAGACCCCACUGCUACCGCUGCUGCCGCCGCCACUGCCUUGGGGACCUCCCUGAGACCAGGCCAGGGACAGAGCCUCGCUGGCCGGAGGGGCCCCCGUUGCCCACAGACGUCUGGAACAAGGUGACAGAUGGGUCUCUUCCUUCCCACCCUCGUCUCUCGCGCUCCCUCUCGGAGCUCCGCUCUCCAGCCUCUCGCGGGAAUCUUCUGAAGUUCUGGACUCAGGACCCGAGGAGGAAGAGGAGGAGGAGGGAGAGGAAGUUAGGCCCUGAGAACCUGUGCACCUUCCCGUCAGGAGAGCAGCAGCGCAGGGACGCAGGCUGUGGGGCCCGCCGCCCCCCUGGCCCAGGCCUGGCCGCAGUGCCCGGCGCCUGCCAGUAGCGCCCUGCCAGCCUCACUGGGGGCCCCCGGGCUGGGGGUCGCCCCCAAGAUGGUGGCGGCCCCAGGAAGGACUGUGCUGCCAGCCCCAGCCUCUGGCUGCUAGGCCCUCCGCACCCCGGCCCCUCACGCCCAGCCCGGCCCGCGAGG